UGGGGAAUAUUGCACAAUGGGCGCAAGCCUGAUGCAGCCAUGCCGCGUGUAUGAAGAAGGCCUUCGGGUUGUAAAGUACUUUCAGCGGGGAGGAAGGGAGUAAAGUUAAUACCUUUGCUCAUUGACGUUACCCGCAGAAGAAGCACCGGCUAACUCCGUGCCAGCAGCCGCGGUAAUACGGAGGGUGCAAGCGUUAAUCGGAAUUACUGGGCGUAAAGCGCACGCAGGCGGUUUGUUAAGUCAGAUGUGAAAUCCCCGGGCUCAACCUGGGAACUGCAUCUGAUACUGGCAAGCUUGAGUCUCGUAGAGGGGGGUAGAAUUCCAGGUGUAGCGGUGAAAUGCGUAGAGAUCUGGAGGAAUACCGGUGGCGAAGACGGCCCCCUGGACGAAGACUGACGCUCAGGUGCGAAAGCGUGGGGAGCAAACAGG
rnacentral:rRNA from 1 species